CCUACGGGAGGCAGCAGUGAGGAAUAUUGGUCAAUGGACGAGAGUCUGAACCAGCCAAGUAGCGUGAAGGAUGACUGCCCUAUGGGUUGUAAACUUCUUUUAUAAAGGAAUAAAACGAGGCACGUGUGCCUUUUUGCCUGUACUUUAUGAAUAAGGAUCGGCUAACUCCGUGCCAGCAGCCGCGGUAAUACGGAGGAUCCGGGCGUUAUCCGGCGUUAUUGGGUUAAAAGGGAGCGUAGAGGGGUUGUUAAGUCGGUGGUGAACGUUUGCGGCUCAACCGUAAAAUUGCAAUUGAUACUGGCAGUCGUGAGGACAGUUGAGGUAGGCGGAAUUCGGGGUGUAGCGGUGAAAUGCUUAGA
rnacentral:rRNA from 1 species